ACUCUACGCCCUACUCUCAAAACACUAUUCCAUUGCUCCUCAACUCCAUGUACUCCACCUAUCUCCUUCGUACUCCACCUAGGUGUGCAUCAAACCAAGUCCACCUCUCUCCUUCAGACUCCACCUCUUUGUGCCGUACUCCACCUCUCGCCUUCGUACUCCACGUCGUCCUCCGCGGCACCCGAUCCCGGUAAGUUCGGAACUCCCGACCUGCGCAACCGUCUCCUUGUCGAGCAUUAAACCAAGUCGUUCAGCGGUAGAAUGGAAAAACCCUACCGAUUUGAAUUCAACAGUCUUGGCCACUGCUAGGACCGUCAAGGACGUCUCUCCUCAGGAGUUUGUUAAAGCUAUGCCGCUCAUCUCAAGUGAUUCGGAAAGGACUUCCGAACUUGAAAAAAUGUAGAAGCCUCUGUGGAGGGUAAUCAAGAUAUGGGGGUGGGGAUUUAGUAAAAGAAAGAGGCAGAGGUAGAGGUAAGGGUAGAAGGAAGCUGGCGAAUGAUAAGAGGUGAUUGUGGCGAGCCAUAAGGAUCAUUUUUUCUUCCGCUUUAUGUCAUUUAAUUUGAUGCACUUUCUAUUUUAUUUUAUUUAUUUUUCUUUAAAAACUAGAUAGGCCCGAGUUAAGAUUUUAUUUAAUUUUAUUUUUACAUACAUUUGUUAUGAUUUUAAUGAGUAUUGGAGGUUUUGUUUUAUAUUUUAUUUCUCUUUUAAUAAA